UACGUAGGGGGCGAGCGUUGUCCGGAUUUAUUGGGCGUAAAGAGCUCGUAGGCGGCUUGGCAAGUCGGGUGUGAAACCUCCAGCUUAACCUGGAGACGCCACUCGAUACUGCCAUGGCUAGAGUCCGGUAGGGGACCACGGAAUUCCUGGUGUAGCGGUGAAAUGCGCAGAUAUCAGGAGGAACACCGGUGGCGAAGGCGGUGGUCUGGGCCGGCACUGACGCUGAGGAGCGAAAGCGUGGGUAGCAAACAGG
rnacentral:rRNA from 1 species